rnacentral:sRNA from 1 species
AAAAAUUAAGUGAGAAGAGCCGCGCUAAAGCCAAGCGUCGUCGUCACCCCAGGUCAAGGGGUGGAAGUUACACCUGGUGCAGCCCUCGGCUCUGAUGCAAAAGCAGCUUUUGCCCCUGGCUGCGGGACAGCGCUGUGACUACUCGCUUCGGGAGAGCUGCUGCCCGUCCCCACACCGUGCAGAAAGCGCCGGCGACCCGGGCGCUGAGAAUGGUCUGCAUAGGGGAGCGGAGAGAAACCUCUGUUCCGCCCUAGAUCCGCUGCCUCGGCGCCCGCCCGCAGGGAGGAGGGGGUGCGACAGGUCGUCUAGCGCGUGCCCCGGAGCCCGCGCCCGGGUCUGGCCGCCUGGGGCCUGGGCUCCCUUCAGAGACUCACACAAGUGGUUUAUCAUGAGAAGGACCGCACUAUUUCAUUUCACUCCUACAAGUUUUCAUUUAUGUUACACAUUGAGAAAGUUAUGAGAAGCAACUGUCACUCUCUGGAGGUGGAGACUGCCGUGAUUCACAAAGACAAGAGGUAAUUUUCCUGUAAUCACAGGAUGACUCAGGAUGGAUCAUGAAGCCGCCCAGCUGGAGAAGC